rnacentral:rRNA from 1 species
UGGGGAAUAUUGCACAAUGGGCGAAAGCCUGAUGCAGCAACGCCGCGUGAGGGACGACGGCCUUCGGGUUGUAAACCUCUUUUAGCAAGGAAGAAGCGAAAGUGACGGUACUUGCAGAAAAAGCGCCGGCUAACUACGUGCCAGCAGCCGCGGUAAUACGUAGGGCGCAAGCGUUAUCCGGAAUUAUUGGGCGUAAAGAGCUCGUAGGCGGUUUGUCGCGUCUGCUGUGAAAACCCGAGGCUCAACCUCGGGCCUGCAGUGGGUACGGGCAGACUAGAGUGCGGUAGGGGAGAUUGGAACUCCUGGUGUAGCGGUGGAAUGCGCAGAUAUCAGGAAGAACACCGAUGGCGAAGGCAGAUCUCUGGGCCGUAACUGACGCUGAGGAGCGAAAGGGUGGGGAGCAAACAGGCUUAGAUACCCUGGUAGUCCACCCCGUAAACGUUGGGAACUAGUUGUGGGUCCAUUCCACGGAUUCCGUGGACGCAGCUAACGCAUUAAGUUCCCCGCCU